GUUCAUGGACAUCAGGAAACCAUUUUUCCCAGCGAAAACGUCAACAUUCACGUCACUUCAUGUGGGAAUCAGAGGUGGGAAAC